rnacentral:rRNA from 1 species
AGUCGAGGGGCAGCAUUUUAGUUUGCUUGCAACUAAAGAUGGCGACCGGCGCACGGGUGAGUAACACGUAUCCAACCUGCCGAUAACUCGGGGAUAGCCUUUCGAAAGAAAGAUUAAUAUCCGAUGGUAUAUUAAAACCGCAUGGUUUUACUAUUAAAGAAUUUCGGUUAUCGAUGGGGAUGCGUUCCAUUAGUUUGUUGGCGGGGUAACGGCCCACCAAGACUACGAUGGAUAGGGGUUCUGAGAGGAAGGUCCCCCACAUUGGAACUGAGACACGGUCCAAACUCCUACGGGAGGCAGCAGUGAGGAAUAUUGGUCAAUGGACGAGAGUCUGAACCAGCCAAGUAGCGUGAAGGAUGACUGCCCUAUGGGUUGUAAACUUCUUUUAUAUGGGAAUAAAGUAUUCCACGUGUGGAAUUUUGUAUGUACCAUAUGAAUAAGGAUCGGCUAACUCCGUGCCAGCAGCCGCGGUAAUACGGAGGAUCCGAGCGUUAUCCGGAUUUAUUGGGUUUAAAGGGAGCGU